UUGGCGUUCUGUUGAUGAAAAUUAUGUUGGUAGGGACAUCUGAGACUUCAUGAUGUUUACCAACGUUUCUGAAUAGGCGU